rnacentral:rRNA from 1 species
UGGGGGAUAUUGCACAAUGGGCGAAAGCCUGAUGCAGCGACGCCGCGUGGGGGAUGAAGGCUUUCGGGUUGUAAACCUCUUUCGCUAUCGAACAAGGCCCGCCUAGGGUGGGUUGAGGGUAGGUGGAGAAGAAGCGCCUGCUAACUACGUGCCAGCAGCUGCGGUACUACGUAGGGCGCGUGCGUUGUCCGGAAUUAUUGGGCGUAAAGGGCUUGUAGGCGGCUUGUUGCGCCUGCUGUGAAAACGCGGGGCUUAACUUCGCGCGUGCAGGGGGUACGGGCAGGCUGGAGUGUGGUAGGGGUGACUGGAAUUCCAGGUGUAGCGGUGGGAUGCGCAGAUAUCUGGGAGAACACCGAUGGCGAAGGCAGGUCACUGGGCAAUUACUGACGCUGAGGAGCGAAAGCAUGGGUAGCGAACAGG